GACGAACGCUGGCGGCGUGCUUAACACAUGCAAGUCACGGGGGCUCGCAAGGGCAACCGGCGAACGGGUGCGUAACACGUGAGCAACCCUGCCGAUCUGAGGGGGAUAGCCGGCCCAAACGGCCGGGUAAUACCGCAUACGUUCUUGUGGCCUCAUGGCUGUGAGAAGAAACCUCCGGGGCAGAUCGAGGGGCUCGCGGCCUAUCAGCUAGUUGGCGGUGUAAUGGGACCACCAAGGCGACGACGGGUAGCUGGUCUGAGAGGAUGGCCAG
rnacentral:rRNA from 1 species